GGCAGUGAUGAGAUUGUGAAAUGACCCAAGUUUGGAAUUAAUUUAAGGCUGGAAAACUAACUUUCAUUAAAAAAUAUCUAACUAUAGGUUCUUUCUUUCCUUUGAAAGCCUACACUUUUACCAAGUGAACACAUCGCAGAUGAUUUAAUCAUCCUCUAAUGCUAAAGAUCUUGGCUUUUACAAACUCUGUGGGUAAGGAGAGAAGAGAUGGAUAAUGACAUCAGGACAGCAUUCAUUUUCUAAGAAACAAAGUCUUGGCAGUUAGCUCUGCAGAUAAAGAUCAUAAAUGAACUCCAUACCGCUGAUUGAAUCAUCCUGUAAUCAUGAAGACCCUGGCUGUUUGUUACCUCUGGGACUAAGGAGCGUAAAGGCUGAUAGUGAACAUAAGACAGCUGACUUAAAGAGCCAUCAUCGUGUGCAAGGAGCAUAAAGACGAAUAUAAUGGUUUCAGUCCCUGUCCAGUAAUGAAGAUCUCGGCUGUUACCCCUGUCUGUGGGCAAGAGCAAUAAUGCAGAAGACAAUGUCUGAUUGAAUCAGUCUGUGCAGAUGAAGAUCUUGGCCGUUACCUUUGUGG